GACGAACGUUGGCGGCGUGCUUAAUACAUGCAAGUCAACUGAAGCAGUGGUAGCAAUAUCGCUGUGGAGGUGGCGCACGGGUGAGUAACACGUAGGUAAUCUGCCUUCAGGUCUGGCAUAACUCCGGGAAACCGGGGCUAAUAGCAGAUGAUGCAGCGGCUCGACAUCGAGACAGUUGUUAAAGCUAUGGCGCCUGAAGAUGAGCCUGCGUCUGAUUAGCUAGUUGGCGGGGUAACGGCCCACCAAGGCAACGAUCAGUAGCUGGUCUGAGAGGAUGAUCAGCCACACUGGAACUGAGACACGGUCCAGACUCCUACGGGAGGCAGCAGUAAGGAAUAUUGCGCAAUGGGAGAAAUCCUGAAGCAGCAACGCCGCGUGAGGGAUGAAGGGCUUUUGCUUGUAAACCUCUGUAGUGAGAGAAAAAAAUCCCAAUCUUUGGGACAUGAUGGUAUCUCAAAAGUAAGCCCCGGCUAACUACGUG
rnacentral:rRNA from 1 species